rnacentral:rRNA from 1 species
GAGGCUGUCUCGCGAUGCUCUAGAUUCGCGGCCUAUCAGCUUGUUGGUGACGGGAGGCAGCAGUGGGGAAUAUUGCACAAUGGGCGAAAGCCUGAUGCAGCAACGCCGCGUGAGGGAUGACGGCCUUCGGGUUGUAAACCUCUUUUAGUAGGGAAGAAGCGAAAGUGACGGUACCUGCAGAAAAAGCACCGGCUAACUACGUGCCAGCAGCCGCGGUAAUACGUAGGGUGCAAGCGUUGUCCGGAAUUAUUGGGCGUAAAGAGCUCGUAGGCGGUUUGUCGCGUCUGCUGUGAAAUCCCGAGGCUCAACCUCGGGSUUGCAGUGGGUACGGGCAGACUAGAGUGCGGUAGGRGAGAUUGGAAUUCCUGGUGUAGCGGUGGAAUGCGCAGAUAUCARGAGGAACASCGAUGGCGAAGGCAGAUCUCUGGGCCGUAACUGACGCUGAGGAGCGAAAGCGUGGGGAGCGAACAGGAUUAGAUACCCUGGUAGUCCACGCCGUAAACGUUGGGCGCUAGAUGUAGGGACCUUUCCACGGUUUCUGUGUCGUAGCUAACGCAUUAAGCGCCCCGCCUGGGGAGUACGGCCGCAAGGCUAAAACUCAAA